rnacentral:rRNA from 1 species
UACGAAGGGGGCUAGCGUUGCUCGGAAUGACUGGGCGUAAAGGGCGCGUAGGCGGAUGGCACAGUCAGAUGUGAAAUUCCCGGGCUUAACCUGGGGGCUGCAUUUGAUACGUGUUGUCUAGAGUGAGGAAGAGGGUUGUGGAAUUCCCAGUGUAGAGGUGAAAUUCGUAGAUAUUGGGAAGAACACCGGUGGCGAAGGCGGCUCACUGGCUCAUUACUGACGCUCAGGCGCGACAGCGUGGGGAUCAAACAGG